UACGUAGGGACCAAGCGUUGUUCGGAUUUACUGGGCGUAAAGGGCGCGUAGGCGGCGUGGUAAGUCACUUGUGAAAUCUCUGAGCUUAACUCAGAACGGCCAAGUGAUACUGCUGUGCUUGAGUGUGGAAGGGGCAAUCGGAAUUCUUGGUGUAGCGGUGAAAUGCGUAGAUAUCAAGAGGAACACCUGAGGUGAAGACGGGUUGCUGGGCCAACACUGACGCUGAGGCGCGAAAGCCAGGGGAGCAAACGGG
rnacentral:rRNA from 1 species